GAUGAACGCUGGCGGCGUGCCUAAUACAUGCAAGUCGAGCGAACGGACGAGAAGCUUGCUUCUCUGAUGUUAGCGGCGGACGGGUGAGUAACACGUGGAUAACCUACCUAUAAGACUGGGAUAACUUCGGGAAACCGGAGCUAAUACCGGAUAAUAUUUUGAACCGCAUGGUUCAAAAGUGAAAGACGGUCUUGCUGUCACUUAUAGAUGGAUCCGCGCUGCAUUAGCUAGUUGGUAAGGUAACGGCUUACCAAGGCAACGAUGCAUAGCCGACCUGAGAGGGUGAUCGGCCACCCUGGAACUGAGACACGGUCCAGCCUCCUACGGGCGGCAGCAGUAGGGAAUCUUCCGCAAUGGGCGAAAGCCUGACGGAGCAACGCCGCGUGAGUGAUGAAGGUCUUCGGAUCGUAAAACUCUGUUAUUAGGGAAGAACAUAUGUGUAAGUAACUGUGCACAUCUUGCCGGUACCUAAUCAGAAAGCCCCGGCUAACUACG
rnacentral:rRNA from 1 species